GAUGAACGCUGGCGGCGUGCCUAAUACAUGCAAGUCGAGCGAAUGGAUUAAGAGCUUGCUCUUAUGAAGUUAGCGGCGGACGGGUGAGUAACACGUGGGUAACCUGCCCAUAAGACUGGGAUAACUCCGGGAAACCGGGGCUAAUACCGGAUAACAUUUUGAACCGCAUGGUUCGAAAUUGAAAGGCGGCUUCGGCUGUCACUUAUGGAUGGACCCGCGUCGCAUUAGCUAGUUGGUGAGGUAACGGCUCACCAAGGCAACGAUGCGUAGCCGACCUGAGAGGUGGAUCGGCCACACGGAGACUGAGACACGGCCCAGACUCCUACGGGAGGCAGCAGUAGGGAAUCUUCCGCAAUGGACGAAAGUCUGACGGAGCAACGCCGCGUGAGUGAUGAAGGCUUUCGGGUCGUAAAACUCUGUUGUUAGGGAAGAACAAGUGCUAGUUGAAUAAGCUGGCACCUUGACGGUACCUAACCAGAAAGCCACGGCUAACUACGUGCCAGCCGCCGCAGUAA
rnacentral:rRNA from 1 species